GUCCUGCCUCAGACCCCAUCACACCUUUAAUUUAACAUCUGUCGGGGCCUAAAGGAAUACAAAUAUAAAUUCAAGUUACCUGAAACCAUUAUAUAGCUUAAUUGGCUUGUAAAGUAUUCAGAUACUGAAGUAAUGAGUACAACCAAUAAAUAAAUUUACUUUUGAUCUGAAAUCAUUUGCCACUAUUUUGUACAGCUAUAUUAACUUUUCUCUGCCAUACACGUUUUACAUGUUUCUGGCUUCCCCUUUCCUUUAGGUUUGGUCUUAGGCACCACUGCUUUUUUUAAUGCCCAUAGAAGGACUUGGGCUACACCUACAGUGCACCUGGAAGCAUGAGUUCAGCUUGUGCAGAUGUACCCAAGGGAACACCCGUAUCAAGGAGGCUGUAGCAGCAGAAGUUUCAGCUGUCAAACAGGGUUGUGGGCAAGGACCAGACAGUACAGAAGCUUGGAAAUGUUUAUGUUAAUGAUUCACCAGACUGACAGGAACAGAUCCAGAAUUUUAUGUAUGCUUAUACCUACUGUUACGUGCCAACAGAACCCUAAAUGAAAAUGAACAGAAAUCCUGUGGGCACAAGAGCUUUUCAAGACCAGGAUUUACCAGAAUAUGAAUUUUGGAAACGCAUGAAGACUAACAGUGCAUGUGAUAUCUGGAUACUGCAUUGGAGGCAUAUUGUGGGCCAAUACAGUCAACAGAAUAACAGACAUGGAUCCAGAAGACAAACUAUCAGUUGUGCAAAGUGGGCAAACAGCACAAGAUACAAAGCACAGCAACUACAGCUGUGAAGAAAAUGCCACAACAUUUUUUGGCAUAAGGCACUGAAAGCAAGGGCAUUAUACACUGAUUCUGGAAGAUGAAAGAAGCCAUUCUCCUUGGCUACAAUCUGCACCACCCAUGAAAACAUGGCAAGAAAUGUGUGUACAGGCAUUCAAGUGCCCUCUUGUCUGGAGUACUUCAAAGCAUUGCAAGAGCCCACACAAUUGAUGCUCCUCAUCCAUGAGGCUGGUGUGAAGAGAUCCCAGCAUGCUUUGCAGGGGCCCUUGUCUCUGGAGGUUCCUGAGGAUAGCCCAGUCCAGAGAAAAGAACUGAUUAGCUGGCCACCCAUGGAACCAUACCCACCAAGGACUCCUUGCUCAGCCCUCGGUACUGGGCUGCCAAAGCCACAGGGCAGAGACUGGCAGCAGGGAAGGGCUCUAACACUUCAGGAGGUGGGCUUCAUGGAUUCCUUUUGGUCUCCACUAUGGUCUUUGUGAAUUACAGCAGCCAAUCUCAACACUAAGCAUACACAGGUUAUGUUACAGUCCUGCAAGGCUCCAGUGUUGCCUCUGUUUCGGAAGAAGUGCCGAGGAGCCUCCCCUUCACUCUGGCCAUCACAUUUGCCAUUUGUAAAAAGAAGGACCUGGACAUAAACUCAAUCCCCCAUGGAUGCUUGCUUGGUUUCUGUAGUGUCUUGUCGGUUUCUGUACUGUACCAACUACCAUAUUUGCCUUACAGAAAGUUUCCCUGGUUCAAGACUUGUAAAAUAAACCCCCCUGAUCACUGCCUUCCCUGCAGCCUGGCUUGUAAAUAAUGCCAGAGAUGAUGGUUCAGCAGAAAUCAGUGUUUUUGGCAUGGCAGAAGGGUCUCAGUGGCAGAUUCCUGCCCCAUUUGUUGGGCAUGAAGGACUUUCUCUUGUCCAUGAAGAGAGACAAGGUGAACAAUGCACAGCAGGGGAAACACAUGGCUAUUUGUGGGCCAGGCUUCACUUCCUUGGGGUAGCAGAGUCUGAUGUGAAUCACAGUCUCUGGAGCCAUGGCAGGGAUACAGAGCACAGCCUCCUGGGGUGUCAGAGGAUCAAGGUACAUCCAGUGAUGCUCCACAUAACCAGACAGGUGUUACAUGUGGUGCUGGAAAUCCUUGUGCUGCUGAGAAGUUGCUGUUGUAAAGAGGUUCUUUGUGGAACCAACCUGCUUUUUCCACAAAAAAAACCCACUUGCACAGCUUUGCUUUUUGCUGAAUUAAAAGGGUGUAUUUCUUGCUAGACACGUAACACCUAUCCAUGGCCUUAGUCAGAUGCAAAGGAAAUGAAGCCCAAAAGACCUUUGAAUAAAUGGAAACAAAGGCACUACAGAAUGGCUUAAACCCUGCUAGGGACAUGCUUAGGAUAGAUACAGCUCUUUAAGGGUACACUGUUAGCAGCAGUCUUUCAUGGCAAGCAUAAUGCCAAAAAAAAGUUAAACAUGUCUUUCUUGAACUCCUACUAGAUCUGGAUGAAAAUGGUUCCACUACCAAAGAUUUUACUGAAGGAAUAGCUAAAGUAUUUAAAGCAAUCAGGUUGUUGCUUUUGUUUCUAUAGAAGCUUCAUUGUCACUUUAAGGAGAGGCAACCAUAGGGAACACAAGCAGGAGGUGAAAAAGCACUGAAUCUGACAAAAAGAAUACCACUGCCUAGCUCAAAAUAACAGGGAAAUACUCAGGGGUGGAUCCAGAGGUGGUAUAGUAGCCUUUCAGUUAAUGACGACACAGGAACAGCAGCCAGGGAUUUCUUAAGUCCCCAAAUCAGCUAAGUACUUCCCCCAUCCUUUUGCCACCACUUCUGCUGUCUCUGGCUGAGACUGUCUCCUAGCCCAGCUGAAGUAGGCUCUGGAGCUCCCCCAAGCCUCCAGGUCAGCUGGGGACAAUUGCAGCAGAGGGCAGGGGACGUGAGAAAUUGCAGGGAAGAAGAGCAUGGAGGGUAAGGAAGUGGGAGGGAAGAUUAUUAUUUGAUUUAAGAGACUUUAAAAAAAAGACCUCAGCUGCUGC